GUGCUUACUUUUGAAAAAUCUGCCAGAGGCAAUCAAAUAAGAUAAACAAGCCAGCACACCAAACUGACAGAGAGAACAGCUGAUGGGAUGGACGUGGCUGCUGAUAUGUAGGCUAGUGCACUGUUCCAGAGCCCUCUGCACCAAUGCCCCUCCACUGAAGCAACACUGGUACAAGACAAAGAAAAGAAAAAAGAUAGGGGAUCAAAAGUGACUACAUCUAUGUACAGAAGGAAAUUAAUGCCAAAAUGUGUUUGAAGACCAACACCUCAUUUCAGCAGACUUACAUAUCUGUAGUUUUUGGAACAGCUAUGGAAGAAUCUUAUUUUGCACUUACAAGUAUGUUAUUUUAUUGCUAUCGUUACAAUUGCAACACUGCAAGAGAAUUAACCAAUUGUUGAAGUGUAGCCUACAGGAAAUUGACAGAUUCUCAUGUUCAAUUGUUCAACAAAUGUGGUAUUGUAUCACUAAUGCAUUUUCUGUAAGCAUGUAUGUGAAAACACAGAAAUGUACUAAAAUUCAAUUAAACCUCAAUGUGCUCAUAAAAAUAAGUAGGCACACGCUCCAAACAUUAGGCUAAAACAGAAGAUGUCCUUCAUCAAUUACGCCAGCCUCGUAGCAGGUGAUUAUUGGCCAGUGGCACUGGUCCAUUUUUCCCACUUUGAAAAGAGAUGUACAUUAGUUGUCCUUCUUCACAACCUUCACUGACACUGAUGUGUGAUUUAAGAAGCUGUCUCCAGAGAAUAAAUGAUAUCAGCUUAUAAGUAAUGUUGACACAAUUUUAGUCACAGACACAUAUAAAAAUAAUACACAACAUACACACUCCUGUCCAAUAUAUAUAUCCAUAUUGAGGCUUACAUACACAGUUCAUAUAUAUAUAAUCUGAAGGCAUUUUAAACUUCCUGAUUGUAUAAUUUGAAAGGCAUACUAAAUCCAUGCAGAAUACCCCUUCCAUCAUUUAACCAAAUCAGUUAUGUUCCUGCCGUCAAUUUCCAUGCAAGACAAUAUAUUAAAUCCAAAUAUUCUUUUAAGCCAAGUCACCCAAAAAAGGCACAAAUGAGAUAUUUGUGUUCUGGCUGGCAUCAGCUUUUCUAUGGAGACAGCUACUGCAAAAUUGCUAAAAAAAAAGAAGGGGGAAAUAAUUUUGGUAUACCUUUUGUUUCCAUAUGCGCCAUGUUAAAAAAAUAUUGUUUACCAUUGAAGAGUGAUACUGUGAUAUGAUCCGCAUUUGGCACUAUUCCUUAUCAGGCUAUUCUUUCAGUGAAUUUUAAUUAUUCAGUAUAAGCAUGUUUGUGCCAAUGAUCCUAAUGAUCUUUCUACUCAGAUUCUCAAGAAUGUACGAGGCGAAAUCUUUUUACACGGUUAAGGUGGUGAACCUGGUGGCCAGCUACAAGAUGGACUGAAGUGGGCAUUGGCAAAUAGAUGGGCCUAAGGGGAAGUAUUUCUACCCUUCAACUCUGCACCCUUAGUGGAAUAACAGGCACAAGUUAUUUCCUAAAGAAGGCAAUAGAUUUGGUACCUUGAGCAGAUACUGAAGAUCAAUCAUCGUGUUUGGCUUUCAGAACUCACAGAAAACUGUUAAACUAGUGUCAUAUUUUGUCAAAAGGACAUGAGGCCAGCAGAAGCAGUCACACAUCCUAAUUUUGCCUCCUGUCCAAAGAUACCAACACAGGGAAGAACAAACUGUUGAUCACUAGAUACAGACAAAACAAAUGUACAUUUUGCAUGAUAAAAGGUGUAAUAUAAAAAAAAAAAAAAAAAAAAAAAAAAAAACACAUGCAUAACAGUAAAAACCAAAUCCCAGAAAUUCAUCCUGCAUCAGACUCACACGUGUCUAUUGGAAAAGAAAACACAUAGAAGUAAACCCUACAUGUUUGUUAGGGAAAACAGAAGGACACUGCCCCAAGAACACCAGCUCAUGCUUUCCACUAUAUCAGGUUUGAAGUGGACAGAACCUGAUAACAUCAGGCACAAUACAGUGAACUCACAAACACGCACAAUCUCCAGAUCUUCUCCAGAAUACAUUGCUUACAUCACGAAACACUGGGUUGUACCAGUAACAUUGUUUCCUGUACAGAACCCCCCUAUGCAGCAGCUAGAGUGCCCAGUCAAACGAGAGCCAGUUUAGGGUCCACUGUGAGACCAGUCUGGGGACACCAUUAACGUUCUGAUAAGGUUGCUGUAACGUUUUCUAUGAUAUGAGCUCAACCAUUCUGAAGGUACAUAGAAGCACAAGAUCGUAUACAUAGGCAGACAGGAGUAUAAAAUGCAUAUGGCUUUCACUGGCACACUAGAAUGCAGUAGUUCUUGACCGUUAAAUUCUCGAGGGUAAAAACAGAGCUAUCAGUAGUUUCUUAUUUCGAUUUUCAUGUGAAAUGUGGAGGUGGAGAUCCAUUACUUGGCCCAUCGAGGGGAGCUGAUCACUGAUAUUACUGACGGCAAAUGACUCUGCUCCUCCAGGCUGCUAUCUUGUGUCCCAUGUGGAGUCUCCAUUACAUAUGUAAUGCACUAAGUGUCGAUAUGUUCAAUUUGUAUUUUAACAACAUAUUCCAGCUGGUACAGGAUGUAGAAAAGGCAGAUGGAAAAAAAACUACAAAAGACCGACAAAUAAAGAAGAGGCACCACACUGAAUAACAAGGAGUAAUGUAGAGAAUACCUCACAGGCCUUAGAAAAGAAACAACUCCUCACCAGCAUCUUGUUUCUUUGAUUCUUUGUGCCUGUUUUUUUGCGCUGAUGUACUUGUCAAGGGCACUAAUGAAUGAUACUGUUGUCCCAAAGUAAGAAACUACAAAAAACACUAUUCUGAGAGAAGACUGGCUUGUCAUUUUUUCCCCAUCUAAUGUAAGACUCCGGACAGGUGAACGGGCAGUGAAGGUGAGAAACAAGGCAGUGAACAGACUUUGGCAGUACGGCCAUUUUAUCCCAGCAAACAUGAGGUAACUGCUGACUGUCCCACUGCAAGGAGGGGGGAGAAGUCAAAAACUAACACAUGGUCUGAAACAAACAAAACAAAACUGCAAGUUUGGGGUACAUAAUCCUUUUGACACACACUUGUACAUAUUUUAUCCAUCCCAUUUACAGUAUCAACAAGGUUUGACUUUCCCCGAGACUACUUCAAAUUAAUUGAUCAACUUUCUUCUGAACACCAUAUUGCAUGUCUCUUUUUGUCACUUAGGGUUCAGGCACCAUAAACACGACAAUUCAUGGCAGCACUAAACACCCCUAGUUGGUGCUUCAAGUUUCGGAAAAAUACAAAAUACAUCCUACAAAAUUUGAAAAGAGGGCAGGCCACACCAUACAGGAGGUGAGAACCAAGAGAUCAGUACCCAGACAGCAGGCAAUUGAGGACUGGACCUGGUCCUGGAUAUGAGCCGAAUGUAGCCUACAGCCGGAUGCUAUUUGGGUAUGGCACAGAACCUUGAAGAACUGUAAUGACACUUCUCAUCAGAGGACCAUCUGCCCCGCACAUUCGCUAUGGAAAGCAAGUAGCUCAC
ensembl:lncRNA